AUCGUCCAAGUUUGCCUUUCACAGGAGGACGCGGAGAACCACUGGGGGCGUCCCGCGGACCCUGGAAGAGAGCCCCGCUGGCCGGAAACUCCCCGGCGGCCGCUCAGUCGCCUCCCCGCUCAUCUGGCGCGUGACCGGACCUCUUCGGAAUGUUUCCAUUUAUGGCUAGAAUUCGGUCUUCCCUGUUUGGUCACAGACGGGAGGGCUUGAGGGAACAGAGAGCAUCGCAGAGCCGCUCUCCGGAGCCGGGGCCAGGGGGCUGGGCGGGCAGGGCUCGGGGCUGCUGCCACUGGACCGGCCCCGCCCGGCGCGCAUCGCAGACUCCGGUCACCUAUGGAGCGCACGCCUGGCAGGAGUCGGUGCCCCCACAGGGCUCCCUUGGUGCCGUUAGCCAUGCGGCCUGGUUUGUUCUGUUUAUUCGAUGUCUCACGCCCCCACGAGACUAACCAACACUCCUUCCUGGAAAGAGCAAAGCGUUCCUUUUUGGGGCUUUCCUCAUUGAAGUCUGACCUGCCGUCACCCCCUGGGAGUGUCUGAUGGUGUUCUGUUGAAAAUCAGGUUUCCCCGACCCCCAAGCCCAUCAAGGACACGGCAGGGCACAAACGGGCCCAGAGAGAGCAGAAGUGCCGCGUCCCGAACUCUCUGAAGAAGCGACUUGGCGAAGCUCCCUGUUUCCAGCUCACCCUUCUUUUAGCCGCUCUUUCAGGGAUGAGGUGACCGUG